AGUCGGAAUCCGCCAAGGAGUGUGUAACAACUCACCUGCCGAAUGAAUUAGCCCUGAAAAUGGAUGGCGCUUAAGCGGGCGACCGACACCAUGCCGUCUGUAAAAGAAUUCAGAUGAGUAGGAGGACGUGGCGGCCGUGUCGAAGCAUGCAUGCAGAUGUGUGUGGAACAGCCGCUAGUGCAGAUCUUGGUGGUAGUAGCAAAUAUUCAAGCGAGAUCCUUGAAGGGCGAAGCGGGGAAGGGUUCCACGCGAACAUUGAUUGGGCGUGGGUGAGUCGUUCCUAAGCCGAGUGGCAAUUGCUAAGUAGCGGCGAAAGGGAAGCAGGUUGACAUUCCUGCACACGGAUGUGGAGGCGGUGACGCUUUAAUGAGGGUGAACACGCCGGCGAUGGCGCUGGGCAGAGUUUUCUUUUCUGUUUGACCGCUACAGCACGCGGUGUGGAAUCCGCUUGUCGGGAGAAACACGCGUGUUCGGGCAGAGCGCCGGGGCUAUUCCGGCGUCCAGCUCGCCAUCGACGGCCCUUGAAAAUUUACCUGCUGGAAUUUUUUAUUACUAUCCACGCCGUGGCGUACCGAUCACCGCAUCAGGUCCCCAAGGUGAACAGCCUCUGCUCGAUAUGAACAAUGCAGGUAAGGGAAGUCGGCAAAUUGGACCCGUAACUUUGGGAAAAGGGUUGGCUCUAGUGCUGCGUGGGAGUGGUUGUCGGGUGUUGGCGUUUUUGGCCUUGCUGAGAGAGCGUAAUGGUUUCUUCGUGAGGCUGUCAUGUUUAAUCGGCGAGGCUGGAUUCGCCACGCUCGACGACGCCCACAGCAUGCAGCAGACUAGAACUGCA
rnacentral:rRNA from 1 species